AGAGAUGUGCAGGCGAGAAUCACUACACACCAAAUUAAAGUGGACACAAACCGGAUUCAACCAUAACUUCCCUCUGGGCUCUGGCUACAUCUCACGCACGUAUUCUAAAUCUAGAGCCAGCAGUUUACUAAACGACAACGAUUUAGCCUUAGCGCGCUGUUGGAAAAAACACUACCAUGCAAUGUUAUGUCCCACAUGCUACUCCCA